GCCAGGCGUGGUGGCUCACACCUGUAAUCCUGGUACUUUGGGAGGCCAAGGCAGGAGGAUCCCUUGAGCCCAGGAGUUCGAGACCAGCCUGGGCAACAUAGGGAGACCCUGUCUCUU
rnacentral:SRP_RNA from 1 species